GCCUGGGUGGCUCAGUCGGUUAAGCGUCCGACUUCAGCUCAGGUCAUGAUCUCAGAGUCUGUGGGUUCAAGCCCCGCGUCGGGCU
rnacentral:tRNA from 1 species